rnacentral:lncRNA from 1 species
AUGGCACAAGGAAACAGGGAAAGAGGACUAUUAUCCGUCCAUAAUGUUUCAUCUCUGCUACUCCCUCAUGAUCACUCUCUCUGCUUAUUACAGAUAGGGGUAGGGUUAAGGUCCCCUCUACAAUAUACCAUGCUUCCUGAACUGAUCCUUCGGAUUCUUCCCGCAGGCUGCAGCUCACCACACACUUCUCCAUCACUGGUCUGUACAACAGGGCCCAUCCUUCAGCAACAGACUGUUCUAACCAUCUCCAGGUCUGCUCCGGAUCUUCCUGACCCUCUGAAGCCUCACGGGAAGUUGGAUCAAGGGAGUUUCACUCCUUCCUUAGGGAGAUCAACAAGAAUUUGCAGACAUAGAAGCACCACAGAUGCUGUAACAAGGACUCUGGUGUAUCACUUGGUCAGGAGAAGAUUGGCAUUAUCAGUAUUGAGGCAAUGUGAGUUCGCUAGUGAUUUUGAAGUAUAA